GGAACGGUGGCAGAGCGGACGAAUGCACCCGCCUUGAAAGCGGACGAACCGAGAGGUUCCGGGGGUUCGAAUCCCCCCCGUUCCGCCA
rnacentral:tRNA from 1 species